UCUGUCGUUUUUGACGUUUUGGUUCCAUCAUUAUUUAAGAGCAAAUUUUUGUGGAUGAUAUGCAGAAACCAAAAUCUCUUAGGGAAGAAAUGCAAGAUCCAUAUUCUACAGAUCCAGAGACGUCAAUUCUGAAUCUUUUACUAGGUACAGUUGGAGUCACUUUUUUGUUUAUAAUCUGCUGUUGUGACCUUAGGAAUGGGCAGCGUCGCCACUAAAUCACACAGUUCAUAUCAUCAGACAUGGAAGACCUUAGUCUCAUACAAAUUUUGGUAAUUGACGAUAUGCCAGCAAAUAUUAAGGAACAGUUGGACAGGCAGCCUCCUUUACGAAUUCAAACGGACAAUGAAAUUCCUAUAACGACACUUAUAGCAGGAACCGUUAUAGCGACAGUGUUAGUUAUGUGCUGCUGCUGCAGUGGGGGCGGCCGCAGAGAUCACCAUUAGUUAUUUAAAUGUGCGUCCUACUCUCUUGUGUGCAGUUGUUAGUCAUAAAAUGAUAUAUUUGUGGCUCCAAAAUUAUUCUUAUUGACACUAUUUGAAUUGACAGUUGCAUAAUUAUUGUUCUU